UACGUAGGGUGCAAGCGUUGUCCGGAAUUAUUGGGCGUAAAGAGCUUGUAGGCGGUUUGUCGCGUCUGCUGUGAAAUUUCGGGGCUCAACCCCCGAACUUGCAGUGGGUACGGGCAGACUAGAGUGUGGUAGGGGAGACUGGAAGUUCCUGGUGUAGCGGUGAAAUGCGCAGAUAUCAGGAGGAACACCGAUGGCGAAGGCAGGUCUCUGGGCCAUAACUGACGCUGAGAAGCGAAAGCAUGGGGAGCGAACAG
rnacentral:rRNA from 1 species